CAGUCGCCACGGGAAUACAGAGGGUGCGAGCGUUAAUCGGAUUUACUGGGCGUAAAGCGUGCGUAGGCGGCUUCUUAAGUCGGAUGUGAAAUCCCUGAGCUUAACUUAGGAAUUGCAUUCGAUACUGGGAAGCUAGAGUAUGGGAGAGGAUGGUAGAAUUCCAGGUGUAGCGGUGAAAUGCGUAGAGAUCUGGAGGAAUACCGAUGGCGAAGGCAGCCAUCUGGCCUAAUACUGACGCUGAGGUACGAAAGCAUGGGGAGCAAACAGGAUUAGAUACCCGGGUAGUCCCUGUCUCUUAUAC
rnacentral:rRNA from 1 species